rnacentral:lncRNA from 1 species
CAGAAUCUAAGCAAAAUUUAAAGUAAAAGUCAUAACAAAAUAAAUAGAUUAAGUAAUAAAAUAAAGUAAAGGACUAAAAUCAAAUGCGCUAAAACAAGCGAGGACUAAAUAAGAAAUUAGCCCCAUCCCAGGACACGUGUCCUUUCCCCAGCAAAUCAACGAACUGGGGACUAAAUUAAAGCACGAAAAAAAUCAGUGGCCAAAUUUUAAAAAACCAAAAAGGUAACAGAGGACUAAAUUGAAGCGCAUCGCAAAAGCGGAAGGGCUGAUUGCGCAAAUAACCCGGCGCUAGAAAACACGCGGAUCCCCCUGGAGCGGGUUCGGUCGCACGCGGGUUGGCCUUAAACGGCGUCGUUUUUGCGCCUGGGUCCCUAAUCCAAAAUGGCGCCGUUUUACUUCUUUAUUUAAGUCAGAUUUUUUUCUCAAAACUUCAUUUUUUUUCUUCUUUCUCAAAAAAAAACCAUCAAAACUCUCUCAAUCCCUCUCCUUUUCUCCGGCCAAUUGGGCGCCAUCCGUCCGUCAUGGCCGCCGGCGGACGAUGGCGGUGACCACCGUGUACGGCGGCCGGGGUUAAAAAAGAGGUCAUUUCAACCGUUUUGACCUCCCUAAGCCCAUUUUGAAGCCGAAACUUCCAAUAACCAAACGAGGACACACAGACAAAUGAAGGACUUCUCGACUUCGGGCCACCAUUCAUCGGAGGUGGCUACCUCGGACAUCCUGACGGUGGAGCGCAACCCUCAGGUACGCUCCUUUUUGCCUUUUUCUUUUUAUUUUAUGCCUUUUUAUUAAAAUAGAUUUGUAAAAAAAAUAAAUAAAUAAAAAGAAAAAAGAAAACGAAGAGAAACUAAGAAAAGAUCUAAAUCAACACCUUUGUUAAACUUCUGUUCUGCUUUUUUUGAUUUACUAGUGUGUGUAAAAAAAGAGAAAAUAUAUAAUGAAAUCGUUUUGGCUUUUAUAGCCAAAUUACAAAACUCCUCAUUUCUAUUUUUUUGUCGUCUUGCUAUUGUCUCUACUAUCGUUUGCGUGUUCAUCUUUCUUUGUAGGAGAUUGCAGAGGCUGGUGAUGGCGGCAAAGGAGGGUCAGACGCGUGGAGGGGAGCGGCUGCGGCAACAAGGUCAGAAGACCUAGGUGCGGCGCACCUAGGGUUAGGGGGAUUAGGGUUUUCUGAUAAUUCUUAAGUUUUUGGGCUUAUCGGGCCUUUAGGUUUAUUUUUUAUUGGGCAUUUGGGCUUGUAAUUUUUUGGACUAUGGACUGUUUAAUUUUUUUGGGGGUUUUAUUUAUUUAGUUUUGGGCCCGGGCAAAAAUGGGCUUGUACAUUAAUAAUAUAUAAAUCUUAAAUAAAUAUUUAAAUCACAUAUUCUUCCACCCUCCAUUGUUAUAAUAAUGUUUUGC